GGAGGUAAUAGCCGCAUCGGAGGUGAUAGUCGCACCGAGCGACUAGAGCAGCCACAUCAGUGGUCAUGGACGGCGGCUAGGUGCGCGCAGACGGAGGCGGCCUCGACGUCCGCGCGGGCAAGCAGGCGGCGCUCGCUCUCCGCCCACGUCGCCCCGUUGAGUCGGUCGGCGCGGACCCGGAGCGCGCCAAACUCGAUGAUGGCCGCCAGGUUGAGCAGUCGAUGUGCACGCAGACGGAGGCGGCCUCGACGGCCGCUGCGGCCACUCGCCCCGCUUGAGCCGGUCGGCGGGGACCCGGAGUGCGCCGUCCUAGAGCUUCACAUCGACGAGCACCGCGGCGCUCGUCCUCCUCCUCACUCUCGAGCUGAGUAAAACAAGUGGUGUGGCUGUGGGAGUGGAUAAGGAAAGAGAGUGAAUAAGGAGAGAGAC
rnacentral:rRNA from 1 species